CUCGAGUCCAAGGAGAGGACCCACACUGGGGCAGGUGAAAAAUGGUGCAGCUCACUGUGACAGUUGUGUUGAAAUAUGACUCCAGUAUCCAGUACCUGCUGAAAAGUCAAGGAGAGGGAGACAAAGCCCAGCCUGAUGAAAACGGUUCGCAGCUGCUUUCAUUUGUGCCAUUCAGAAGCCAGAUGAUAAUUUGUCCGCGGGGACCCAUCACUUCUUGGCAGGCAGACCUGUCCGGCGCGGUGCUGCUGUGUCGGCUCUUACCCUCUGCCUACCUCCAGCCCCAGCACGAGCACUGUGUGUGGAGCAGCAACACCCAG
ensembl:lncRNA